rnacentral:rRNA from 1 species
UACGUAGGGUGCAGGCGUUAAUCGGAAUUACUGGGCGUAAAGCGUGCGCAGGCGGUUUCUUAAGUCAGAUGUGAAAGCCCCGGGCUUAACCUGGGAACUGCGUUUGAAACUGGGAGACUUGAGUGUGGCAGAGGGGGGUGGAAUUCCACGUGUAGCAGUGUAAUGCGUAGAUAUGUGGAGGAACACCGAUGGCGAAGGCAGCCCCCUGGGUUAACACUGACGCUCAUGCACGAAAGCGUGGGGAGCAAACAGG